GCUACUGUGGCUCAAUGGCAGAGCGGCUCACUCGUAAUGAGCAGGUUGUCGGUUCGAUUCCGACCAGUAGCUCCA
rnacentral:tRNA from 1 species